rnacentral:lncRNA from 1 species
CACCAGCUUGUCUGGGCUUUCUUUUUGCUGGCAACAGAGUAAUUCCACAUUUUGGUAGCUUUAUGUGUUCAGCCCCUCCCUAAUGUAAUUCCUUGUUGUUUGGUACUGAGUCACAGAAGUUAGAACAUUCUCUGCUUCACUAAGAUGGAGAUGGAGGUUCAAGGAAGGUGUCAAUCAAGCUAUGAAAUUCAGCCUCAUAUGGAGAUCUGGAUAUCAUGCAAGUUCAGGAACUUAUGACCCUGAACAACAUGAAGAAUUCAUACAGUAAUGUUAAGGAACAAUUAAGAUGAUUCUUAUAGCAGCACAUUGCACUUCUGAUAUGGACCAAGAAAAAAGCAUCACCAAAAUUACACCAGUCAAGCUUCUACCGCUGGAUGUUGAGAGAUUACACGUUUCUGCAACCAUUUUUUAUGUGAGAUUUGAGAAGAGAUUAUUUUUUUCAAAAGAGAAGAGCCGUACUGAAGAGCUAAGACCUAUUUUGGGGUAG